rnacentral:rRNA from 1 species
AUUGAACGCUGGCGGCAGGCCUAACACAUGCAAGUCGAGCGAGCGACGGACGGGUGAGUAAUGUAUGGGGACCGCCCGAGAGGGAGGGAUAACCACUGGAGACGGUAGUUCAUACCGCGUCCUAUCGGGUAACCCAUAUGGGAUUAGCUAGUAGGUGAGGUAAUGGCUAACCUAGGCGACGAUCCCUAGCUGGUCUGAGAGGAUGAUCAGCCACACUGGGACUGAGACACGGCCCAGACUCCUACGGAGGCAGCAGUGGGGAAUUUUGGACAAUGGGGGCAAGCCUGAUGCAGCCAUGCCGCGUGUAUGAAGAAGGCCUUCGGGUUGUAAAGUACUUUUGGUAGGGAGGCGUUACCGACAGAAGAAGCACCGGCUAACUCCGUGCCAGCAGCCGCGGUAAUAC